UACGGAGGGGACUAGCGUUGUUCGGAAUUACUGGGCGUAAAGCGCACGUAGGCGGAUUUGUAAGUCAGGGGUGAAAUCCCGGGGCUCAACCUCGGAACUGCCUUUGAUACUGCAAAUCUCGAGUCCGGAAGAGGUGAGUGGAAUUCCUAGUGUAGAGGUGGAAUUCGUAGAUAUUAGGAAGAACACCAGUGGCGAAGGCGGCUUACUGGUCCGGAACUGACGCUGAGGUGCGAAAGCGUGGGGAGCAAACAGG
rnacentral:rRNA from 1 species